AGAACGAACGCUGGCGGCAUGCCUAACACAUGCAAGUCGAACGGGCCCUUCGGGGCUAGUGGCGCACGGGUGCGUAACGCGUGGGAAUCUGCCCUUAGGUUCGGAAUAACUCAGGGAAACUUGAGCUAAUACCGGAUAAUGACUUCGGUCCAAAGAUUUAUCGCCUAGGGAUGAGCCCGCGUAGGAUUAGCUUGUUGGUGAGGUAAGAGCUCACCAAGGCGACGAUCCUUAGCUGGUCUGAGAGGAUGAUCAGCCACACUGGGACUGAGACACGGCCCAGACUCCUACGGGAGGCAGCAGUGGGGAAUAUUGGACAAUGGGCGAAAGGCCUGAUCCAGCAAUGCCGCGUGAGUGAUGAAGGCCUUAGGGUUGUAAAGCUCUUUUGCCAGGGAUGAUAAUGACAGUACCUGGAGAAUAAGCUCCGGCUAACUCCGACGCCAGCAGCCGC
rnacentral:rRNA from 1 species